GGACACCAAAAGCGGCGGGCUGGGCUGGUGUGGAGCGGAGAGCCGGGCUAGGGACGGGCACAGGGACACCGAAGGCGGCUUUUCCUGAUGCUUCCAGGUCCAGUCUUAAGUGCACCAUCCAGUUGAGCUGUGUUGGUUUGUUACUGAUCAAUGUAGUGCUUGUCCUGCCCGCAGGCUCUGGGCUUUUCACUGCCCUGUGGCCUUGGCUCGUGUUUUGGAAGUGUUUGCUGAGACGCAGAGUGUUGGUGUUGGGAAGCAGCAGCUCAGUGACUUGGGGCUGCUGCUGCUUUAGGAGUUUCAUCUUUGUGCCUUUUUUUUGUCAAUUCAGUGUGCCCCAGUGAGACAAGGGCUGCAGUGGGUGUUCUGCAGAGCUCCAGCACAAUAUUGCCACGCAGCAAAAGCAGAGAAAUAAUAACAGCCACAACUGGGCACUGUUCUCACUGGAUGCUCAGUAAAAAAGAGACUCCUUGAAAUAAAGGGCUCAAAGGAAAGUGUUUCCCUUUGGAUGUGUUCCUUUUGGAUGUAUGAAAUGCAGGAUUGCCGAGUGACAGUCUGCAGAAAUUCAGUCAUUCUUUGUUUGUGGGAACUGCCCUGGAGAAGGAAGUGAGUGCAAAAGCCCCACAAGCCCUACAAAAGCAGAUCCAGAAGGCUGCAGAGCAGGGAUAUCUGGAUGCAGAGUGGGAGUUCUUUGUUCUUCUGGUGCAUUGAAGCAGUUGCCAUUAGGAUUUUAUUUGGUGAUGCAGUCUCCUGAAUUUCUUCUUGUCGGAGUGCCCUUUGUGGGGAGGGGGCAUCACUUGUGGAAGAAUUCUCAAGUAUCUUGGUUUAGGUAAAAUACAGUAACUAAAGUAUUUUUUAUAAUUUUUAUGGGAAAAGUAGUGCGUAGACUUCCUUUGGAAUAAACUGUACUUCUUUAAAUGUUUGCAAAUCCCUGUGUUGUGUGUGUGUGUCUGUGAGCACUCCUGUGUUUUACAGAACACACUGCAGACUGUAAAUAAAACUACCAGAAAGGUGUUUAAGUCUUGUGGACUGAAUGUACCAUUUAAUGGGAAAGUGAAUAAAUUAUUAACCAGCAGUUGCUAAGUGGAUGCUUCCUGCAAAUAUCUGAAAUCUUUGUGGUGUUUGUGUGCAGGUUUCAGCUGGAGUUGCCCUGGCAUUGCCUCCCAGAGGGGCAGGAUUGCUCCCCAGGAAGUUCUCCAGCCAGAAGUCCCUCUGGAUCCGGAUUAUUUUUUUAAAAAAGUUUAGUUUGUCUUGGCUUUUUCUUUUUUUUCCCUGCCCUUUCUGGUUUGUCUCUCCAUGUUCUUAUUUUACAGAGGAACCCCUCCCCAGCCUGGCCAGAGCCGCAGCCUCCUUCAUGUGCCGCUGCCUCACUCGCUGCUGCCGUGCUGGCUCAGGAAUGUGAUCAAAGCCCGGCUAAGCAGGAAUCGUUCCGGGCCUGCUCUGUUUAAUCGCUGCCGCCGCGAGCAAAGCUGCCCCCGCUCCUUGAGGGGAGCGCUCGCUGCAGCCCGGCAGGAAAAGAGCCCAGGAAAAGCUGUGCCCUUUGCAGGAGAAGCGCUGGGAGCAGAGGGGAGAGCGGGAAAAGGGAGCGAGAGCAGCUGGGUGGGCGGGGCGGCAUCAGCGCUGAUCCCUCCGCGGGCAGGGCCGCAUCACAAAUAGUCCCUCGGGUGGAUCCCUCCGCGGGCGGGUUCGCAUCACCGCUGAUUCCUCCGCGGGCAGGACCGCAUCACAAAUAGUCCCUCGCGGAUCACUCCGCGGCCAGGACUGCAGCACCGCGGGUGCCUCCGGCGGAUCCCUCUGUUAUAAAUGGUGCUGGAAUUGCCUGUCUGGACGUGUGCUGAGCUCUCGCUGCUGUGGACUGUGCAGCCUCAGUUGCUGCAGGUUCCUGUUCUUCUCACCAGCUCAAAGUACACGUGGGGUUUUUUUGCCCUUCUAUAUAGAGCUGUUGAGUUUGGGUGAUUUUCCUGAAUUGAGGAUAUUGAAGGUCGAGAAGGAAGAUUUGUCUCUUUUUGUGCUUUUCUGUUGUUUUUAGCACCUGCUCAGCAUCUGAACGUGGUUGGAAUACUGGAAACAUAAAAGAAACAUAAAAGGUUUUGGAUUCAGUGCUUAUUUGUGCAAACCCAGUCUUUUUAUCUUUUUUUUUUUUUUUUUUUUGAAAGGUCUCCACUGUUCCUGGUAGUUUUAUGUAGAAAAGGUCAUAUGAACAGCAGGGAGCAGUGAGCACUUGGAAGGGGGGGUGCAGGUAGUUCCUUCAGGGUGGGGGAGUGAAUGUGGCCUAGGAACAGCUCUCUGGUCAAGUGAGCAGCAGAGGAACUGAAGGAUGCUCUUCCCCAGCAGAGCUGCUGCUUUGUGCUCUGAGGCAGCGCUGCCGGUGCUGGGCUUCCUCGGGGAAAACAGCUCCUUUGGGAUGUGCUUUGCUGCAAAGGUUUCCCUGAGCUGGGUGUCUGCAAGAGGCGUCGGGAUACCAGUGUCAGGAGUUUUCCAUGGUUUCCAGGCUGUUGUACACAGCACGUUCCGGGCAAUUUGCCAGCGUGAGGCAGAGCAAAGUCGGUGCAAUUGGACUCUGCAAAUGCAGUUCAGGCAGAUGUUGAUCUUUUAACUUUUCCAUUGUAGGUGCGAAUUCUUGGGCAUUUGUGAGUCUGCCUUGACUUGCAGGGAUUGAAGGGUUUAGGUGUGGAGUUGUUUGGCCAGCUUGCUCCAAGGCAUGGUGUACUUCUGGAAGUGCCACACACCUCGCAGGACCGAGGGGCUGCUGGCUGGGUGCUGGUUCUGCUCUGCCCUGGGAACUGGGAGCCCCUGGGAGGGCUGGGGGUGACACCUGGAGAUGGGCUGGGGAAGCCUGGAAUUGUAUCUCAGCACUUUUCUAUGCAGCUCUAUGGACCGGUGUGUGCUGAAUGAAGCGGCUCUUCAGCACAAUAAAUUCAGCAGUUUGGAAAAACCA